rnacentral:lncRNA from 1 species
GGAGUCAGAGGAGCACAGCACGGAGGCUGUCUUCUCGCAAAUUAUGAAUCCACAAGGUAGAUAGUUGCUUAGUUCUACUAUUGUACUUUUGUUUUUGUUCUACAAGUUUAUAGUUGACGAGGAGAGGCUUGCUUAGUUGGUAGAGCACCUCCAUCUCCAACCAGCUAAGGCUAAAGUUCAAUUAAAGGGCGUUUCCACGUUGUAGGUAGUUGGUAAGUGGAAGCACUAUUAAUCAGACUUGUAGCCUGUAUUUCUGUCUUCCUUAGUGCCUUCAUUUUUGCUUAGUUGGUAGAGCACCUCCAUCUCCAACCAGCUAAGGCUAAAGUUCAAUUAAAGGGCGUUUCCACGUUGUAGGUAGUUGGUAAGUGGAAGCACUAUUAAUCAGACUUGUAGCCUGUAUUUCUGUCUUCCUUGGUGCCUUCAUUUUUUCUUCUCCAUGAUGUCUCACCAUUUGAGUGAAGCAGCUUUAAUAUUAUAGCUGUAUUAUUUAUGGUUAGCACAACUCUAUCUUCUGAAAUUGCAUCCGGCCCAACGGUUUGCGCUAUUAUUAUUCAAGAAAAGAAAACAGAUCAACUAUUAUAACGUAAUGGUUAUAGCCUAUAUGUAUAAUGCAUGUUUUGAUCUACAAAUAUGCAUCUUAGUUAACUAGUGAGCUUAAAGAGAAAAGAAUUUAUCCUUCUAAGGAAACCUAUAUGAUCUUUGAGCAUCUUAUUUCAAUAUUUUUU